AUGGAGCUGCUGGACCGGUUCAGGAUGACAAGGUUGCCGUCCCCGGAGAUCGUGAGCUCCAGCGAGGUGAUGUUCUUGAUUGGGUCGUCCCUGUUUGCGACCCACGCUGGAGUAAGCUUGGGGACUGUGUUGAACCAUAUGCCCAUGUACCAGUUGGACUCGCUGCCGGUCUCGAAGAAGCCAAGAGCGUACCUGCCAUUUUGGGAGACGAGCUUGUCGCAGCCGACGAGUGGUUGGGCGGAGGAGAUGGUGUCCGUCGUGGCAGAAUUUGCAGGGGCGGCGGCGUGUAAGGUGAAGACAGUGAACACAAAGAGGAGGAGAGGCAUGGUGAACCAAGGGAGAGGGGGAGGGGUGGCUUGCAGUUGCAGAGACCGCAACUGUAGUAGUAGGGUGGGUGCUCUGCUCGGCCGCCAUGGCAAGAAAUAA
rnacentral:rRNA from 1 species